GGAUAAGUGUGUGUAUUUAUAGAUUUAAGUGCAUUACUAGAUUAUUAGCUACGUUCACCCAACAAUGACAACAUUCCACGAUUGUGCGCUGCAAGGUCUAAGCCCGAUAUGGAAAAACGGAACGUAUUUAGUAUAUGUCCCCCAAAAGCCCAAAUCAAAUCAACGUGAACAGACAUGAUCGUGAAAAUGUAUCGUCCGGGAUACAUUAAAACACGAAAAAAAAAAGACAUUUGCUGCUCAAUAAUUUAUGUAUUUGAAAUGAAUAAAAAGAAUAAUUUAAAGUUCAAUGCAUCAUUCUAGAUCGAUGGAGAAGAAUAAUGUCAUUAGAAAAAUUUGCUGUGUAAAUAAGCUACGAGCGCUUUUAUGAGCAACUUCGAAUUUUUAUGUACACAAGCGAAAAAAAUCAUCAAUUGCAGUUUUAAAAUAAUAGUUUUUUGUUCAUAAGGAAGGACAAAUAUGCUUCAAACAGGUAAGCAUAUCGAUCAUAAUUCUCAUUUGUCCCGGUAAUAAUUUAUUCCCUCCCCCCCAUUUCUUGUGCCGGAUUUGGUUUAAAGAUAACAUCAGGAAUUAUUUUUUAGCUGUCAUACAUACAAUAUUAUUAUUUUUUUAAAUCAAUUAAUAAUUAAUAUUUUUAAAUUUCCCAAAUAAAUAGAUAAAAAGAUUAGACAAAUGAAGAAUAUUGUAGAACUAAUUGUCGUCAGAUGGCGCAAGUAUUGCGUAAACAAUUUUUCAAACUAAAUUCUGGGUCGCGUACAACUGAGAACAAUUUUCGUUGCUUUUCCCUUUUUCCGCUGCUUCGAAAUAUUUUAACAAGAAAUCUGCAGAUUCCGGCUCU